rnacentral:rRNA from 1 species
AAUCUUGCGCAAUGGGCGAAAGCCUGACGCAGCAACGCCGCGUGAAUGAUGAAGGCCUUCGGGUCGUAAAAUUCUGUCAGGGGGGACGAAUACUGACGGUACCCCCGGAGGAAGCCCCGGCUAACUACGUGCCAGCAGCCGCGGUAACACGUAGGGGGCAAGCGUUGUCCGGAAUUACUGGGCGUAAAGGGCGUGUAGGCGGCCGAUCAAGUCAGGUGUGAAAUUUCAGGGCUCAACCCUGAGCGUGCACUUGAAACUGGUAGGCUUGAGUGCAGAAGAGGAAAGUGGAAUUCCCAGUGUAGCGGUGAAAUGCGUAGAUAUUGGGAGGAACACCAGUGGCGAAGGCGACUUUCUGGUCUGCAACUGACGCUGAGGCGCGAAAGCUAGGGGAGCAAACA